rnacentral:rRNA from 1 species
UCUUAGUAACGGCGAGUGAAGCGGCAACAGCUCAAAUUUGAAAGCUAGCCUUCGGGUUCGCAUUGUAAUUUGUAGAGGAAGAUUUGGGCGAAGCCGCCUGUCUAAGUUCCUUGGAACAGGACGUCACAGAGGGUGAGAAUCCCGUAUGUAAGAGGAAAUGGCACCCUAUGUCAAUCUGCUUCGACGAGUCGCGUUGUUUGGGAAUGCAGCUCUAAAUGGGAGGUAAAUUUCUUCUAAAGCUAAAUAUUGGCGAGAGACCGAUAGCGCACCAGUAGAGUGAUCUAAAGAUGAAAAGCACUUUGAAAAGAGAGUUAAAAAGCACGUGAAAUUGUUGAAAGGAAAGCGCUUGCCAUCAGACUUGUUUAAACUGUUCGGCCGGUCUUCUGACCGGUUUACUCAGUUUGGACAGGCCAGCAUCAGUUUCGGCGGCCGGAUAAAGGCUCUCGGAAUGUGGCCUCCACUUCGGUGGAGGUGUUAUAGCCCAGGGUGUAAUACGGCAGCCCGGGACUGAGGUCCGCGCUUCGGCUAGGAUGCUGGCGUAAUGGUUGUAAGCGACCCGCUGAAAAAGGGGACCAAAAAACCGU